rnacentral:rRNA from 1 species
GACGAACCGUGCGAACGUUGUUCGGAUUCACUGGGCUUAAAGGGCGCGUAGGCGGACGGUCAAGUCAGGGGUGAAAUCUUUCAGCUCAACUGGAAAAGUGCCUCUGAUACUGAUCGUCUCGAGGGAGGUAGGGGCAUGUGGAACUUCCGGUGGAGCGGUGAAAUGCGUAGAUAUCGGAAGGAACGCCGGUGGCGAAGCGACGUGCUGGACCUCUUCUGACGCUGAGGCGCGAAAGCCAGGGGAGCGAACGGG